GUCUCAAAAAAACCCUUCCAUAGGGACUUCUUCUUUUAGUCACAAAUACUCUCUUUUAGUCCCUAAAAAUCUAUCUUGUUUCUUUCACAUGGGAUUAAAAGGAACUUUUUUUAAUCUUUACACCAAAAAUUCCGUGUAAAGAAACACCCCCAGAGUAGAUGAUUAUCAUUUAUCUUGCGGUCUUGCCAGGUGGAGCAUGGCACAUGCUUUGAUGCACCUCGUUUAGCCGCACAGGUUUGUAUGUUCCCCGUGGUGCCAAGUUCUGAUAUGGCAGAUUUCGUUGAAAGAACGUAGCUGUUUGCUUCUGCUUGGACAGAGCUCUCGGCUCUCCUCUCCAUGCAGAAGUGUAAAAGAGCAUAACCAAGAGCGUCUCCCGGCUUCAGAGUCCAAGCGGCCAGUUGGGGGCACAUUAUAUGAACUCCACUUGCUUACAUCUGAUGAAACUCUCAACUUUCUCCGACUGAUAUACGAUGCUGUGCCGUGGUUGCUCGUACAAAACUACACAUGUUUUAGCUACAGAUUACGCAUAUAUACCUACUCUUGAAUACGAUUGACAUGAUGCCCAUUGCCCAGGCUAGUGACAGUGGCACCCUACUGUUGACUGCAUAUUGCUGCUGAUCAGAUUACAUUCAGAGCUUCAUCGUUGAUCCGUUACAUCCAGUCUUGAUACGGUUUAAUAUCCAGCUUAAUCUGGAGGCAUCCGAGGAACAAGAACACAGCAGCAGAUGCGUUGCACUCUCUUUUCACUGACCAUACUACGCAAGAAACAUCUCUACAGAAUACGGAGUACAUCGGAGAAGUAGAAGCAGUUUAUUGUGCAGAUUUACGACUCGAGAAGACCUAGCCCAAGCUGAGGUAAACAGCAGCGGNNNN
rnacentral:lncRNA from 1 species